rnacentral:rRNA from 1 species
UACGUAGGGUGCAAGCGUUAAUCGGAAUUACCGGGCGUAAAGCGUGCGCAGGCGGUUUUGUAAGUCUGUCGUGAAAGCCCCGGGCUCAACCUGGGAAUGGCGAUGGAGACUGCAAGGCUUGAAUCUGGCAGAGGGGGGUAGAAUUCCACGUGUAGCAGUGAAAUGCGUAGAGAUGUGGAGGAACACCGAUGGCGAAGGCAGCCCCCUGGGCUAGCACUGACGCUCAGGCACGAAAGCGUGGGGAGCAAACAGG